CGGAGCCUCGCGGCCGCCGCGCACGCUCGUUCCGUGCCCUCUGACGGCGUCUCCCCAUGGCUGACUCCGCUGUCCCUUUCUCUUCGGGCCCGAGUGCCCGGGCUUCCGGCACCUACCGACACGCUGCAGGUACGAGCGGGAGCCUCUUCAGGUACUAAACAGACAAGUGCCCUGAAGCCAGAAGAUGCUUCCAGAAGACGGGCAGAACUGGAAGCCGCGGUGCAGAGGAAGGUGGAGUUUGAGAGGAAAGCCCUGCGCAUCGUUGAGCAGCUUUUGGAAGAGAACAUCACUGAGGAAUUCCUAAAGGAGUGUGGGAUGUUCAUCACACCGGCUCACUACAGCGACGUCGUGGACGAGCGGUCCAUCGUUAAACUCUGCGGCUAUCCUUUAUGUCAGAAGAAGCUAGGAGUCAUCCCUAAACAGAGGUAUAGAAUUUCUACUAAAACCAAUAAAGUCUAUGAUAUUACUGAAAGAAAGUCUUUCUGCAGCAACUUUUGUUACAGAGCAUCUAAAUUUUUUGAAACACAAAUUCCCAGAACUCCAGUAUGGGUCCGAGAGGAAGAAAGGCCUCCUGAUUUUCAGCUGUUGAAAGAAGGACAAAGUGGCCGUUCUGGAGAAGUAGUGCAGUUUUUCAAUGACGCCAUUACGACAGCGGAUAUUGACCGUCCUGGAGCCUGUGAAGCACAGAGUGCGCCACCGCCUCCCAGCACGUGGAGCGAGCACACGAGCGAUGAUGAGCAAGGCUUCGUCUCCUCGCUUCUCCCAGGAAACAGACCAAAGGCAGCAGAUUCGAGGCCACAGCCUCGCAAGCAAAGCAGCAUAAGGAAAAAGAAAGCCGGUCAGAAAGUGGAUUCCGAGCACAGAGAGCAGACGGUGGCCGAUGUCACUGAGCAGCUGGGUAACUGCAGCUUGGGCAGUCAGGAGGAAGCCUGUGAAUUUCCCUCAGAGAAAGAAGACUCUCAGAUUUCUUCACCCGGCCCGUCACGUGAAGGGCUGCACAGCUUAGCAGUUCCUGACGACAGGAGUAGUGUGCCGGGGGUCACUCUUGUGGGGAUUAGCAAGAAAAGUGCUGAGCAUUUCAGGACCAAGUUUGCCAGAUCUAACCAAGGUUCCGGGUCAGCCUCGGGCCCGGUGCAGGUGUGCCCUGAGGUUGCAAAGGCAAACUUACUCCGAGUUCUAAAGGACACCUUGACUGAAUGGAAGACAGAAGAGACACUGACGUUCUUGUACGGCCAAGAUCAUGCCUCUGUGUGCCUGAAACGGUCUUCAGCCCCUGUGCCUGGUGAAGAACUCGAUGAAGAUGACAUAAGCUGUGAGGCGGGUAUUUGUGGUCCUGCCCCGAGCCAACCUCAGAACAACCUGGAUGAGACGCUACCCGUUAGAGGCUCAGGCACGGCCAUUAAGCCAGUGCCGAGCUACGAGAGCUUGAAAAAAGAAACUGAGAUGCUGAACCUGAGGGUCAGGGAGUUCUACAGAGGACGCUAUAUCUUAAACGAAGAAACGACCAAGUCGCAGGACCCAGGAGAGAAUGUGUUUCAGCGUGAUCCCAGCUUCCCACUGAUUGAUUCAAGUUCCCAGAACCAGAUUAGAAAACGGAUUGUUCUUGAAAAAUUGAGCAAAGUGUUACCUGGACUUUUGGGUCCUCUUCAGAUUACAAUGGGCGAUGUUUACUCUGAACUUAAAAACCUUGUGCAGACUUUCAGAUUGUCAAAUCGGAACAUCAUACACAAGCCCGUGGAAUGGACUUUAAUCGCUGUGGUGCUGCUGACAUUAUUGACACCAAUUCUUGGCAUUCAGAAGCAUUCUCCGAAAAAUGUGGUCUUUACACAGUUCAUAGCCACCCUGUUGGCAGAACUACAUUUAAAAUGUGAAGAUCUUGAAAAUUUAACCAUCAUAUUUAGAACCAGCUGCUAAGGAAUGUGUCUCCCUUUGAAGAGCAGCAGUCCUGGUUCAGACAUCCCAGGACGUUCUCAGGCUGGCCCGCUGGUUCCACCUGACCGGGUUUCUUCCCAGCAAGCAGCAGUUCACCGCAGUAGCCCAUCACGAGCCUUCUCGGUCCCCUGCCCCUCUUCUGGGCCAGCAUCUUAGUUACCUCAGUGCAGACAAACAGAUAUAAUUCAGGAAGAUACAAAAUGAAUUCUACUCACCAUAUCUGGAAUUUUACACAGUGAGGAUCCAUGAGUGACUGACGGAGAGUAUAACUUCGUCAGGAGAGCCAUGACCCCAGCAGGAAGAAGGAGAACCUCAAAACACAGAAUCUUGCCAGGCGUUGGUGGCGCACGCCUUUAAUCCCAGCACUCGGGAGGCAGAGGCAGGUGGAUCUCUGUGAGUUCUAGGCCAGCCUCCAAAACAAUACAGAGAAACCCUGUCUCGAAAAAAACCAAAACAAACAAACAAACAAAAAAACUGAAACUUGAAUGAAUAUUCAAGAAGAUGCAAUUAUCUUUGUUUUUUUUUGGGGGGGGGGUUUAUUACAGCCAGAAGAUUAUAAUUUUGGCAGUUGUAAAUGCUAUCAUACAAGUAACAACAAAAGUUAGGUCAAUAAAUGUGACCUUCAAUGAA